ACGCACGCUGGCGGCGUGCUUCACACAUGCAAGUCGAACGGAAAGGCUCCAGCUUGCUGGCGUACUCGAGUGGCGAACGGGUGAGUAACACGUGGGUAAUCUGCCCUGCACUCUGGGAUAAGCCUGGGAAACUGGGUCUAAUACUGGAUAUGACCUUUCUCCUUAUGGGGUUUGGUGGAAAGUUUUUCGGUGUAGGAUGAGCCCGCGGCCUAUCAGCUUGUUGGUGGGGUGAUGGCCUACCAAGGCGACGACGGGUAGCCGGCCUGAGAGGGUGAUCGGCCACAUUGGGACUGAGAUACGGCCCAGACUCCUACGGGAGGCAGCAGUGGGGAAUAUUGCACAAUGGGCGGAAGCCUGAUGCAGCGACGCCGCGUGAGGGAUGACGGCCUUCGGGUUGUAAACCUCUUUCAGCAGGGACGAAGCGUAAGUGACGGUACCUGCAGAAGAAGCACCGGCUAACUAUGUG
rnacentral:rRNA from 1 species